UCAAGCUUUGGUGUACCCACUCUGAAAACUGCCAGCUGUACAGCUAAGUCCUUCUGAACAUGUGCAACGAUUAAGAUGAUAACAUUGGUGCCAAAGAUUUCGGUAAUCGCUAUGCAGGGGAGCUGCGGGGCCCAGCAGCCGUCACUACCUGACAUGAAGGUGAACCAGGUGAAUCUGCCACUGCCGCAGGAGAACCAAUGCCACGAGAUGGCCGCCACCACCUGCAGUCACUGCUACACCAUGUGGACUCCAUCAGCUGGCACCUACCGUCAUCCACCACGUGGAUUUCCACUGCUACUGCAGACCAUCGCCAUUGACACUGUUGCCACCUUGUGAGACUCACAGACUUCUACCACGUGGACCCUCGAGUUUUGAAUGCCCAGAACCCCUCUUUUGCUAAACAUCAUUCUCUUGUUGUCAUCCAGUUAUUGGACUCUACCAGGUACAUCACCCAAGCGCAAUACCCUUUCUCUCUCCAAAGCUUUAGGGGACUUAAUCCUAUCAUUUCUGACCACUUAAGGAAAAAACUCUUUUGCCCCACCUCUUCUCCAUUUAACACCCCUAUACUAGCCGUCAAGAAACCUAAUGGAACCUAUCGACUGGUUCCAGACCUCAGACACAUUAAUUCUGGAGUGGUUCCCCCUCCAUCGCAUUAUGGCUAACUCUUAUACAUUUCUUUCCACUAUCCCCUCUUUGACAUCACCCCUCAUAAAUGGCACUAACUUGUCAUUUCAUCUUUUGCUUCAGGCCUUAAUGUCGACAUACCAACUCCUUAAUGUCACCAGGCCUGGUCACUUUAAAGAUUGCUAGAUAUGUGUACCCCCUGGAAUUAACUCACAAUUGUCACUAGCAGUGUCUCCAGUGAUACUGUCAAGUAACUUUACCUCACCUUUUGCCAGCUGCCCUGACUCUGACAUUGCCAUGACUCCAUAUGUUACUUCUAUCCCUCUCUUUGGCAUGGCAAACUGUUUUAAUACGUCUGGGACACAUUCUAUAGGAAUGCUAAGUUCCCUAGAUGGCAAUAGAACCAUAACCCUCGAUAUAUCAUCUCUGCCACAAUGCCCUGCAAUCCAGAACACGUUGAUUCUUUGUGACACUCAGGCAUAUCAUCGCCUACCCAUCAGCUGGUUAGGAGUUUGCACAUUGGUACUCCUUUUUCCUGAACUGGGAGUAAUCCAGGGAAAUGAGCCCCUGCCAAUCCCAGAUGUAGAUAUGAUAGCUGCCCAACAUAAGAGGGCAGUUCAGGUCGUGCCACUCUUGGUCACUAUGGCAAUAGCCAUAGAUGUUGGUACUGGAAUUGCAGGUCAAACAACUUCCAUGACCCAAUAUAAUACAUUCACUUCCCAAUUUAAAAGCGAUCUUCAAGAAUGACUGAGGCUGUGCUUACUAUCCAGAAACAGAUCGAUUCUCUGGUAGCUGUGGUGCUUCAGAACUGAUGGGGGCUAGAUGCCCUGACAGAUAAAGA